AUUUUUCUUUUUAAUUUAACCAUAAGCUUGAAGCUUUAAAAUUCCUGAACUUCAUUUACUCAUGGUGUCUGCAUCAAAUUAUACGAGACUGGUUGUCUCAUGCGACUGUUGAAAAUGAUUUAAAUAAUUAAAUUUGUCCCCUUUCUAACAUCAUAAACUUUUAAAUGACGUGUUACAACAUGAUCCUAGUGCAGUCAAAAGAUGCGAGUUCAAGUCUCCCUGCCACCUAUUUAUAAUCGUCACAUGUCAGGCCUUUGAUAAAAAUGUAUUCAGCCUGAACUUAAUGCGGCACUUUGAAGGCAGUAUACAUAAUUAAGUUUGUCCUCUUUCUUCAAAAGCUUUUAAGCGAGGUGGUUUGACCGUGUCUAUGCUUUUCAACUUUUGCCUCGUCCACUAGUCUAAUCCUUAAUUAGGUCUCAGUAUUGUUUUUAGCUCUGGUGUAUCUGGUCAAGAGGUUUAGGCAAACCUAUAUAAUUUAGAGAGAGCAAAUUUUGGGUGUGGAGGAAUAUGGCAUGGAUUACUUUACAUGUUGGGAAUGAUCCCCUUCUUUGUACUCUGAAUCGGAAUACUAUGUGGCUUCAGUAGAUUUGAGCUCGUAAAAGAUUUCAAGAUAAAACCAUAAUGUUUUGCUCUCUGCAUAAACAAAUGGCUUGUUUUUCAGGCGGGUUGGAAGCUUUGGCCUUUUGCUCAUCUCGUUACCUACGGUGUGAUCCCUGUUGAACAAAGACUUCUUUGGGUCGACUGUGUGGAGCUCAUUUGGGUGACAAUAUUAUCAACUUAUUCGAACGAGAAAUCAGAAGCCCGCAUCUCUGAUUUACCUGCCGAAGCUAAUGUCGAUGCAUCGUCAAAACGUACACCUGAGGUUUGACAGAAUAGACCAACCGAGACCAGAUGAAGCGAUGAGAAAUCGAUUGCAAGGAGAUAAUUGAAGCCAUCUAUACGAAGGUAACAAGGCUGCAGAAGGUGCACACUAGUAGAUACAGAUGGAAGAACACGAGGGAGAGGCAUGUUAAAAAAAUUUAGCUCGUUUUUCUUGUAAGUUCUAUUCUUAGCUGUUCAAUCCAACUUACCAAAUAUAACAAAGAGGAAAAUAGUAGUUUUCGAUUUGUCGAGCUUGAAUGCACUCCAUUGCUGAUGGAGCUUGGAGAAACAAGAAUUUGGCUUCCAGACAAUCCCACACGGAUGAGGGGCUUGAAGUUUUUGAAAAACUGGACUAGAUAAUGGGCCCCUGUAAUUUCAUGGUUGUUUUCUUGAAUUACUAUUUUCAGUACAAGGUGCUAAUUUUCAUAACUGAACAAGGAAGAAAUUUGAGAUACAAUGACAAUUACGUA